UACAGAGGGUGCAAGCGUUACUCGGAAUUACUGGGCGUAAAGCGUGCGUAGUCGGUUAUUUAAGUCGGGCGUGAAAGCCCCGGGCUCAACCUGGGAAUUGCGUUCGAUACUGGAUAGCUAGAGUUCGGCAGAGGGAAGCGGAAUUUCGGGUGUAGCGGUGAAAUGCGUAGAUAUCCGAAGGAACAUCAGUGGCGAAAGCGGCUUCCUGGACCAGAACUGACGAUCAGGCACGAAAGCGUGGGGAGCAAACAGG
rnacentral:rRNA from 1 species